AGGAGCCAUCAUUGCCAGGCCGUCUGGAAGUUUUUGCCAGGAGUUGUGUGUGCUUUUUAUUUCGUCAAAAUUGGUAUUCAGCAAGCGGUUCGGAAUUACCCUUUCUGCACGAGAUCUCAUGUCUGUUUCCACCCCAUUGCCCCCUUUCCCUGUCUCUCCACGCAUUUGCCCCGCCCCCCGGUCCAGCCUCCCGUGCAGGGAAUGGUUUUGGCGCGAUUCUCGG
rnacentral:misc_RNA from 1 species